AGUAGUUAUCAUAAAAAGAAAACAAUUUCAUAGUUGCACCUCAACGAGUCGGGACACAUCACUAAACCGGUCUGACAUGUGUCAUCUCAGUGAACGUGCACAUCGACCCUGACAAGCUAAUACAAUAAUGCUCAUUUGACAGACGAGGCAGCUGAAGGUCUGAGGGCGAAGCAGCUCCUUCCACAGACGGGGCUGAUGGUGGAGCCAGGGACUCUCUCUGACCAUGGAAUCCUGCCCUUCUCUUUGCCCUUUGACCCGGUUCUCAGCCCCUGCUGGAUCUAGCAGUCUUCCGGAUGCUCUGGGGUGACUUCACCGGGCUGCCUUUGGCACGAACCCUGCUGUGUGGUGCUGUCUUUAGAACUUACCAGACUGUUUUCUGUGUUGAUUUGCCCAUCAACCUGAUCACAUGAGGCUCAGUCUUUCUGAGGUCUCAAGAAAUGUGUGAAUUACGAGCCCUGAGCCACCGUGGAUGAAGUCCAGGCUACUCCAGUGAGAGAGCACUGAGACGCCACCUUGGACGUCCCAUCCAAGUCAAGGUAGCAUGGGCCCUGGUUUCCAUCAGUCUGCAACUGGAUGAGAGACCCCAAGUGAGAACCGCUCAGCUGAGCCUCGUCAACCCACAGAACUAAGACACCAUGCCGUUGGCUUUGAGGACGGAGGGUGUGCCGUGAGCCAAGCUGGUCUGUAGAGGCUGGAAAAGGCAAGGGAACGGAUUCCCCCCGAGAGCCUCUAGAAGGAAUGCAGAUCUGCCAACACCUGGACUUGAGCUCCUUAAGACCCAUUUUUUGGACUUCCGACAUCCAGAAGUAUAAGAUCAUAACUCUGUUGUUUUAAGCCACUAAAUCUGUGCUAAUCUGUUACAGCAGCCACAGGAAGCUACCAUAUCGCGCCCUGAGCAUCUUACACAACAGAAUCUUUCGGAAUUCUCCCAACAACCCUAUGAGGCAGGUCUUACUACCAUUUUAGAAUUGAGGAAGCUGGUACUCAGCGGGGUGAAGGGACUUCCUCAGGCCACACAGCUAUUAAAUGGCAGAGCCAGGGACAUAUGCUGACCUUGCCAUUUAUGGUUAUGCUCACAAAUACCAUGAGUCUACGAUUUAUAUUUCUUUUAGUUGUUCCAGUGCCAACACUGAGAAAGUCCCCAUGAGCCAUAAUACGAAAACUGCAGUUUUGAAAUUGCAAGGGUCAUUGACUCAUUCGUCUUUAUUGUUAUCAGCACCGAAGUAUCUCAUUUGAAAAGAUGAACUUCGGGGCACCUGGGUGGCUCAGUCGCUUGGGCAUCUGACUUCGGCUCAGGUCAUGAUCUAGCGGUUUGUGGAUUCGUGCCCCACAUCGGAUUCUGUG